AUUCCAGAGUACAUUGGAGGGCAAGUCUGGUGCCAGCAGCCGCGGUAAUUCCAGCUCCAAUAGCGUAUAUUAAACUUGUUGCAGUUAAAAAGCUCGUAGUUGAAUUUUUGCGUCACCGUGUAUCGACAUUUGUCGUUUAUCGGUUUCGCUUUUGGGAUUUAUCCCUUUUUACUUUGAGAAAAUUAGAGUGUUUCAAGCAGACUUUUGUCUUGAAUACUUCAGCAUGGAAUAAUAGAGUAGGACUUUGGUUCUAUUUUGUUGGUUUGUGAACCUUAGUAAUGGUUAAUAGGAACGGUUGGGGGCAUUCGUAUUUAACUGUCAGAGGUGAAAUUCUUAGAUUUGUUAAAGACGAACUACUGCGAAAGCAUUUGCCAAGGACGUUUUCAUUAAUCAAGAACGAAAGUUAGGGGAUCGAAGACGAUCAGAUACCGUCGUAGUCCUACCAAUAAACUAA
rnacentral:rRNA from 1 species